rnacentral:rRNA from 1 species
CCUUAGUAGCGGCGAGUGAAGCGGCAAAAGCUCAAAUUUGAAAUCUGGCUCUUUCAGAGUCCGAGUUGUAAUUUGAAGAAGGUAUCUUUGGGUCUGGCUCUUGUCUAUGUUUCUUGGAACAGAACGUCACAGAGGGUGAGAAUCCCGUGCGAUGAGAUGAUCCAGGCCUAUGUAAAGUUCCUUCGAAGAGUCGAGUUGUUUGGGAAUGCAGCUCUAAGUGGGUGGUAAAUUCCAUCUAAAGCUAAAUAUUGGCGAGAGACCGAUAGCGAACAAGUACAGUGAUGGAAAGAUGAAAAGAACUUUGAAAAGAGAGUGAAAAAGUACGUGAAAUUGUUGAAAGGGAAGGGCUUGAGAUCAGACUUGGUAUUUUGUAUGUUACUUCUUCGGGGGUGGCCUCUACAGUUUAUCGGGCCAGCAUCAGUUUGGGCGGUAGGAGAAUUGCGUUGGAAUGUGGCACGGCUUCGGUUGUGUGUUAUAGCCUUCGUCGAUACUGCCAGCCUAGACUGAGGACUGCGGUUUAUA